UUGUCUCAAAGAUUAAGCCAUGCAUGCCUAAGUACAGCCGGGUGUCUUCGGACGCCUAGCGAAACCGCGGACGGCUCAUUAAAUCAGUUGUGGUCUAAAUGUGCGAUUCAGUUACCAAACUGUUGGAUAACUGUGGUAAUUCCAGAGCUAAUACAUGCGACUCUAAAUCCCUAGCCUAGCGAUAGGCGACGGAUGCUUUUAUUAGACCGAGGUGAACGGCCGCGUGAUCUUUCGGGGUUGCGCGGUUCGCGAUGCUAAAGGUGACUCUGGAUAACACCAUGCUAAGCGCACGCAUCGCUAUUGUAGCGGGCGGCGCUGCCACUUUCGAGUGACUGCCUUAUCAGCUAGUAACGUUUGUUAUGCGCAAACGCUGGCUCUGACGGGUAACGGGGAAUCAGGGCUCGAUUCCGGAGAGGCAGCCUGAGAGACGGCUACCACGUCCAAGGAAG
rnacentral:rRNA from 1 species